rnacentral:misc_RNA from 1 species
AGCAGCCGCGGUAAUUCCAGCUCCAAUAGCGUAUAUUAAAGUUGUUGCAGUUAAAAGCUCGUAGUUGAAUUUCGGGAUUGACACAUCGGUCGUGCCUUAAGGGGUAUGAACUGGUGUAGUCAAUUUCUCACCUUCUGGAGAACCGCGAUGCCCUUAAUUGGGUGUCGCGGGGAACCAGGACCUUUACUUUGAAAAAUUAGAGUGUUUAAAGCAGGCAUUUUGCUUGAAUACAUUAGCAUGGAAUAAUAAAAUAGGACGGCAUGAUUCUAUUUUGUUGGUUUCUAGGAUCACCGUAAUGAUUAAUAGGGAUAGUUGGGGGCAUUAGUAUUCAAUUGUCAGAGGUGAAAUUCUUGGAUUUAUUGAAGACUAACUACUGCGAAAGCAUUUGCCAAGGAUGUUUUCAUUAAUCAAGAACGAAAGUUAGGGAUCGAAGACGAUCAGAUACCGUCGUAGUCUUAACCAUAAACUAUGCCGACUAGGAAUCAGACGAUGUUAAUUUUUUAAUGUACUUCGUUUGGCU